GCGUCCUAUUAGCUAGUUGGUGAGGUAAUGGCUCACCAAGGCUACGAUGGGUAGGGGUUCUUAGUGGAAGGUCCCCCACACUGGCACUGAGAUACGGGCCAGACUCCUACGGGAGGCAGCAGUAGGGAAUAUUGGUCAAUGGGCGCAAGCCUGAACCAGCCAUGCCGCGUGCAGGAUGAAGGCUCUCUGAGUUGUAAACUGCUUUUGUACAGGAGCAAAAAAAUCCCUGCGGGGGUUCUUGAGAGUACUGUAAGAAUAAGCACCGGCUAAUUCCGUGCCAGCAGCCGCGGUAAUACGGGAGGUGCAAGCGUUAUCCGGUUUUAUUGGGUUUAAAGGGUGCGUAGGCGGCUUAUUAAGUCAGUUGUGAAAUCCUAGUGCUUAACGCUAGAACUGCGAUUGAUACUAUU
rnacentral:rRNA from 1 species